UGGCGUUGGUUUCUGAUUAUGCACUUCCUCUCUUUCUUGAAGGAGUUGGGUGGGCUAGCUCAGCCCAUCACGAGUAUCGCUCAAUUAGCUUCCUUUUCCAGAGUUUGCCUUCUUCCUGUGUGCUUGGUAAUUCCAGUUUAUCUCCUUUGUGUGGUUUCUGAGAAAGGUUUGUAUGGGCUCGGAAAAUGAGUGACUAAAGCCGUCAGUCUCUGCUUUGGAGUCCUUUCCUAUUAAAAAACUGUUUGUUUUGAUCUGCCAUGAAAAGUAUUAGCCUGGUUCUCAUCCACAGGAGUCGUAAAUUCUUGCUCUUUUUUGGCAACAGAUUUUAAUUAAAAUUACAUUGAGUAGGCUUCUCUAACAAAAACCUCAAGGAAGACCCAAUCAAGAAAUCAGACUUAAUAAGAGCCAUUCAAACACUUCUAGAAAUUCUCACUCAAAAAAAAAUGGAUGUUUCCAUUUUUCCUCUCUUGGCUUCUCUGCUGGAUAUUUUUGGAGUGAGCUGUAACUGCUUUACUCAUUUCCAUAUGCUUGAGGAAAAGUAUGCUGGCGUGUUAGAGGCUCAGCCUGCUUCUGCUUUUUGAUUGCAGUUCAUUGUGAAGCCUGAGAACGAGAAGGUUGAAACUGUGCAGCCCACUUGUAUUGGUAUAUAUAACCUUAGUGAUCUCUCAACUUAAAAAUAAGUAUGACGCUAUUUGGAGAAUUAAAAAAAAACAGUGACUAGAUUUCUAAUCCUAGCAGUUUUGGGAGCAAGCCAUGGCUGAAAAUUCGGAUUAAAUGUUAUUAUAUAAUAUUCAGAAGGCCUUUCCAAGCAACAGAUAGAAAAGCAGAACUAUAGACAUGAGGGAGAACCAGGCCAAGGGACAAAUGGUUGGGUUCAUAUUUGUUCUCAUGCUGAAAGUUAAAUGUUCGUGCCACUCUUACCCCGUCUUGUGGGUGAUGAACCAGAUUUGAGUGGUCGGUCUGUGCUGUUUCUCCCAGCUGGGUCAAAGGUUGUGAACAAGGUCACAGUUUGACCAUGUGAACCUUUAUUUAAAGGAGCUGAUACCAGAGUAAUAGUUUAUGGACUUCAUUAGCUAUUCAUAGUCACACUUACCAAGUUUAUUUUAGGUUCUUUUUGAUGAUUUUGUUUAAUUGGAAAAGUUUUUUCUCUGAGGGAUCUUUUGUAUUUUGGACAUGAUUUUUAUUGGAUAGAAUCAAGAGAUAGUCAUGUGAUUUUCUAAAUUUAGUCCCAUAAUGUUUGGUUUAGUUGAUAAAUCCCAUCAGCUUUGCAAAUGCUCUUAUGAAAACAUUGGUUCAGCUUGUCCUGCCAGACUUUCCCAUCCCUGCCCAUUUUUCUGAGGGCUUCUCUCUCACAUCGGGUGUGCAUUGCGCCAAGACACUUUUAGUGUUUCUGUCCAGUGGGCACAUUUAAGAGUCUCCUGGAAGAAAAAAGGGGAGAAUAAUCCCAGAGUACAAUAUAAAAGAGGGAGACAAAUGUGAUAUUUCUAAUUAUUCAUAAUCCAGCUGCUUAAUAUCUUUAAAACCUAGUCGUGUACGUCAACUCUUACACUUUUAUAACUAAAAUCCCAAAAAGCUCACGCUGUCUGCUCUCAGUGUCCCCCUCAUCCAAUUCUGCAUGCCUACCAGGUACACGGCUCAUUAUUUCCUCUUCCCCAGCAUAGAGUGGCUGGGAUGCUUCAUUCACACAGGAACACACCAGGGAAAUGUUUUCUGAGGCAGCCUGUUUGGUGUGUUCCCCUCCAACCAGAGGACAAAGACUGAUUUGUCUUCCACUGACCUGGUAGAGGAGGCAGAAUACCUGCCGGCUUAUGCAGCCUGUGCCCGCACCGGGACUCCACCUCUUCCAGGAGUGAAUCAGACCAGAUGAUGCACUGGUUUUUACAGCACACCGGGGUGGAGGCCUGGAAGUCUCUAGGCCGGGAGGGGAGGAGGGAAUGGUUCGCAUGUCAAUCCAUUCCAGCAAUGCAGCCUACAGGAAAAAUUGCAAAACACCGAAGUCCUGUGCCACCAGAUUUUUCCAUUAGCACUACGCUUUCCACAGCUUCCAAGUCUGUUCCAGGGACGGCUGUUUGGCCGUGUGAGGGGAAACAGUCACAGCACAUCACAGGCUCUGCCAGCUUGUCCCGUAAGGAGUCCCAGCAGGCCCCGAGCACUGCCUUCUACCCUCCCUGGCAUCUCUCUCCCUCUCUCUCUCUCUCUCUCUCUCUCUCACACACACACACACACACACACACACAAGCUGUGGAUCCUCUGAGGGGUGCAUGGACGGAUGCUCUCUGGGCACUGGAAAACAGCUGCUGGGACUGACGCUGUCUCAGGAUACUGAUCUUAAGUGAAGAAACCUAAGACCAGAAAAUCUUCAGAAAGUUCGUUCCAGCAAGGACUCUCGGAAUCUAAAAUGAAAAGAAGUUGGUCACUUAGUGGGAAAAGGAGAGGGACAGGGACAGGAAUGAAAUCAGAUCCCGAAUGAGUAUCAUAAAGUCCUUGCUGGGUGGGUGCCCCCGAGGUGCCCCGCUGCAGCCUGGGAGUGUGUUUUGGUCAACUGACUCAAAGUUUUGUUUUAUUUUGAAUUAAUUGCCAAAAAUUUUAUAAAUAUGUCAUUUCAUAUAAAAAUACCAAUUUCUUCAA